UGUGCCCAUCGCUACUGCCAGUUUGACCACUGAUCUGCAUAAUAUCAGUGGGAUAGCAUGCUGAAUCCCGCAGCUUCUGCACCAUAUGUUUCCUGGCCGAGUGGUUGAAAGUUGCGACCACACAUUCCAUGGGUGAUGAUAUCUACCAAAAUUCUUGGCGGCACAGUUCUACCCUCGUCAGUUGCACUUGUCCGAGUCUUUCUCUGCCUCUCAACCAACUCGAGAUAUUCCCCCCCCCCCAACUGCAUCCCGGCACAGCUUCACAUCAACCCAUCUAAUUAAUUUGCCGGAAAGGUUGACCACACAAAUUUCCUGUUUGGUUGUGGAGAUAGAAUCAUUUUUUUUUGUGAAAGUUUGAUUUCAGACACUUAAAAAUUGAAAUUGCCAUGUAUUAUUAGGCAUGGCAGGCAUUAGCAAAGCAUCUCAAUCAAGUAUUAAUUA